GUUUAGCUAACUAGCAUAGCACAUCAUUUUUAGCAUCGGGCUAUUAGCAGCUAAACGUAUCCAGAAUGGCUUGUUGUGGUAACUGCAGAUUAAACAAUCUGAAUAUGAGCAGAAUAAGUGCUAACAACGAAAGUACCUGGGAUCUAAUGGCUAUAUCAUUCAUGGAGAUGAGGCGAACAAAGGAAUGAGGAGGAGUUUGGAAGAGUUGUACAGUCCACAGAACUUGCAAGUUGCAAUAACUAUCUAUGACAGAUAUCUUACCACUGCUGUCAUAGGCGCCGUGGACACCACUACUCUUGAAUGUAAGAUACUGUAUGAGAACGUCCUGUUGAUCAAGUAAGGUCCAGAAGUUGAAGAGGGGCCUCCAUUGUCUACUUAAACUUUAUUGUGCACCCUCUCCUGAACAAUAUGCUGGCUUUCGCUAGAGUUUGACAUUGAAUCUUGGUGUAUUUUUAGGCUCUUCUUUUUUUAAAAGCACAUAAUAUUCCACUCAAUUGUAGGGGUUGGGACAUGUUUCUGAUUGUCUUAAUAAUGGGUUGAUCUGUGCACUCCUUUUUGAGCUACACCGAGCAGCAAAGUGGUUUCAUUUAGUUCAUUCAGGUUAUGGUCUUCAAUUUCAAUGAUGGGAGAAAGCAGUUCAAACCCAAGCUACAAAUGAUCUGGAGUGAAGUUAACAGGUUUUGUAGAUUGCCUUAAUAAUUAUAAUUUGGCUUGCAUUGCCUAAAACUGUUCAAUCACAUAGUUUUAUAUUGAAUGAAUCUAUUCAGUCAUGAGUGUUUAGAUGAGUUUAGUGUGUUAA